GUCAAACAGUUUGUUGCAGAUCUUUGGCGUAUUCUGAACAUGAGUUUUAGAAGUACUUGGUAUAAUAAUGCUACAACCAUCAGGAUUUUGUUCACUAAGAGCCCUAGUCCAGCUGGAAUACUGCAGAAGUACAAGGUUGUCCAGUGAGCUGAAGCAAUACAUGCUGCUAUCUCAUAUUCUGGGACACAGAGCAGGAUGUCAGCAGCACUGCAAGAUACAGUUAAACAGACCCAAUCUACGGGAGGACAUCAUGCAGCCACAUCACUGUCCUGCAGAAUAGGAGAUAAUACUGUGAAUUGGAAAAGAGGCUGAGAUAAAAUCUCCUUUGACC
rnacentral:lncRNA from 1 species